GGCCGAUGUCCGAUUAGCUAGUUGGUGGGGUAAAGGCCCACCAAGGCGACGAUCGGUAGCUGGUCUGAGAGGAUGAUCAGCCACACUGGGACUGAGACACGGCCCAGACUCCUACGGGAGGCAGCAGUGGGGAAUUUUGGACAAUGGGGGCAACCCUGAUCCAGCCAUGCCGCGUGAGUGAAGAAGGCCUUCGGGUUGUAAAGCUCUUUCGGUGGGAACGAAACGGUUACAGUUAAUACCUGUGACUAAUGACGGUACUCACAGAAGAAGCACCGGCUAACUACGUGCCAGCAGCCGCGGUAAUACGUAGGGUGCGAGCGUUAAUCGGAAUUACUGGGCGUAAAGCGUGCGCAGGCGGUUACUUAAGUCAGGUGUGAAAGCCCUGGGCUUAACCUAGGAAUUGCGCUUGAGACUGGGUAGCUUUGA
rnacentral:rRNA from 1 species